CAAGUCGAACGGACGUAGCAAUACGUUAGUGGCGGACGGGUGAGUAACGCGUGAGCAAUCUGCCUCUGUCAGGGGGAUAACACUUAGAAAUAGGUGCUAAUACCGCAUAAGACCACGCAACGGCAUCGUAGAGUGGUAAAAGAUAACACAUCGGACAGAGAUGAGCUCGCGUCCCAUUAGCUAGUUGGUAGGGUAACGGCCUACCAAGGCGACGAUGGGUAGCCGACCUGAGAGGGUGAUCGGCCACACUGGAACUGAGAAACGGUCCAGACUCCUACGGGAGGCAGCAGUGGGGAAUAUUGGGCAAUGGGCGAAAGCCUGACCCAGCAACGCCGCGUGAAGGAAGAAGGUUUUCGGAUUGUAAACUUCUGUCGCGAGGGACGAAGAAUGACGGUACCUCGUAAGAAGGCCCCGGCUAACUACGUGCCAGCAGCCGCGAUAAUACGUAUGGGGCAAGCGUUGUCCGGAAUGACUGGGCGUAAAGGGAGUGUAGGCGGCAUGACAAGUUAGAUGUGAAAGCCCGCAG
rnacentral:rRNA from 1 species